rnacentral:rRNA from 1 species
GACGAAGGGGGCUAGCGUUGUUCGGAAUUACUGGGCGUAAAGCGAGUGUAGGUGGUUGUCAUAGUCAGGCGUGAAAGCCUUGAGCUCAACUCAAGAAAUGCGCUUGAUACUGGGCAGCUAGAGGACCGGAGAGGAUAGUGGAAUUCCCAGUGUAGUGGUGAAAUACGUAGAGAUUGGGAAGAACAUCCGUGGCGAAAGCGCUCUGCUGGACUGCAACUGACAUUGAGGGACGAAAGCUAGGGGAGCGAAUGGG